GGUUCACAAAGUCUGUAUUUCACAUACAUUGCCAGACUGGCCAACAUUUUUAUGUUCUACCUGUGGUCAUUCUCUUAGCAAAGACUGAGCUUUUGCCUUUUGAAACAUAAAUAGAAAGAUCUUUCAUAACAAUGCUGUUUUGCCCUGUAAAACAGAGUUUGACAUUUUUAACAAUAAUCAUGGUUCAGAAAUGAGAAUUUAUAGACCAGGAAUGCAAAACUGAAUUUCACCAUCAUCUCAGAGAAUCAUCAGUUUAUGGACAUACUAAAGUGAAAAUUCUGUAGACUCAAAUUUCAUUAAUUCUUACCUAGGAUAGGAGAAUCAACUUCUAUUUUAUCUCUGUAGUCCUUUUUCUAACAUUGUACUUGUUACAGGGGAGAUGCCCAACCAGUGUAUUUUUGUAAAUGCCCAGGUAGAAUG
rnacentral:lncRNA from 1 species